GGAAAUUCAAUUUUAUUUAUUAAAAAGUUGGGGUCUUACAAUAAUAUAAAUACCAAACUUAAUUUACAUAUAUCAGAGUCUAAUCCCAAGUACGCGACCUUUAAACAUUCAUUACAUGCUAAUUAAUAGAUAUCAUUGUCUUAAUAAAGUUAAACUAUUACAUAAGAUAACACAAACUUAUUCGGUCAGCUUUCCCUUCCCUUUAUUCUUAGCCGAGCCUUCAGGUUGAUCACAUUUAGCUGAAAACAUUUAAAUUAAGCAAGGAUGAGCAUUUGAGUGCCCAGCAAGUAAUAGUAAGUAAUAAAAUUUAGAUGAUGGAAGUAAAUAUUUUCCGUGAAUAACACUUCUACAAUGAAUCAACAAUUGUGAAGUAAGCGGAAGCAACAAUAAACAACAUAUCAUUUCAAUUUCAAAUUUUGUUAAACUAUGUACUGACUAUAAAUGGGGAUCAAUCGACAGACUAUGAACAUUAUUUUCUAUUUUUGAGAAGGUUAAACAGAACUUCAUCUGUAAACCAUCAUAACUUACAGGCACGGGGGUGAUCAGCCCAAUAUGUCCUGUAUUGAUCAAUAGUAUAUGUUCGAACGAUAUUUUCGUCCAGCAUAUCCGCCUUAAGCGCAUAAAAGUUUUUCCAGAUUCGGGAUGUUCAUACUAGUCUAGAAUUCGAACCAAAACAAAUUGGUUGGAUACAAUAAAAUUCUAUCUUGUUCAACAAUAUUUUUUAAAUAUGUGUUUAGCUGAAUCAAAUAGCUUAGAAAGCUUUUAAGUCAAUGUAUACAUACUGGAAAC
rnacentral:lncRNA from 1 species